AACAGAUUAGAUACCCUGGGUAGUCCUUUUCGUAAACGAUGAGUGGUAAGUGUUAAGGUGAGUUCCACCCCUUAGUGCUGCAGCUAACGCAUUAAGCACUCCGCCUGGGGAGUACGGUCGCAAGACUGAAAACUCAAAGGAAUUGAUGGGGGCCCGCACAAGCGGUGGAGCAUGUGGUUUAAUUUGAAGCAACGCGAAGAACCUUACCAGGUCUUGACAUCCCGCUGACCGCUAUGGAGACAUAGCCUUCCCUUCGGGGACAGCGGUGACAGGUGGUGCAUGGUUGUCGUCAGCUCGUGUCGUGAGAUGUUGGGUUAAGUCCCGCAACGAGCGCAACCCUUGUCCUUAGUUGCCAUCAUUCAGUUGGGCACUCUAAGGAGACUGCCGUACAAAUACGGAGGAAGGUGGGGAUGACGUCAAAUCAUCAUGCCCCUUAUGACCUGGGCUACACACGUGCUACAAUGGACGGUACAAACGGUCGCGAAGUCGCGAGACGGAGCCAAUCCGAAAAAACCGUUCUCAGUUCGGAUUGCAGGCUGCAACUCGCCUGCAUGAAGCCGGAAUCGCUAGUAAUCGCGGAUCAGCAUGCCGCGGUGAAUACGUUCCCGGGCCUUGUACACACCGCCCGUCACACCACGAGAGUCUGUAACACCCGAAGUCGGUGAGGUAACCCUUUCGGGAGCCAGCCGCCGAAGGUGGGACAGAUGAUUGGGGUGAAGUCGUAACAAGGUAGCCGUAUCG
rnacentral:rRNA from 1 species